CCGGCGACCGGCGCACGGGUGAGUAACACGUAUGCAACCUGCCCUCCGCAGGGGGAUAACCCGGAGAAAUCCGGACUAAUACCGCGUGGUACACCAGUGAGGCAUCCCACGGGUGUUAAAAGGAAGCGAUUCCGGCGGAGGAUGGGCAUGCGGCGCAUUAGCUUGUUGGCGGGGUAACGGCCCACCAAGGCGACGAUGCGUAGGGGUUCUGAGAGGAAGGUCCCCCACACUGGUACUGAGACACGGACCAGACUCCUACGGGAGGCAGCAG
rnacentral:rRNA from 1 species